rnacentral:rRNA from 1 species
GAGUUUGAUCCUGGCUCAGGACGAACGCUGGCGGCGUGCUUAACACAUGCAAGUCGAACGAUGAAGCCCAGCUUGCUGGGUGGAUUAGUGGCGAACGGGUGAGUAACACGUGAGUAACCUGCCCUUAACUCUGGGAUAAGCCUGGGAAACUGGGUCUAAUACCGGAUAGGAGCGUCCACCGCAUGGUGGGUGUUGGAAAGAUUUAUCGGUUUUGGAUGGACUCGCGGCCUAUCAGCUUGUUGGUGAGGUAAUGGCUCACCAAGGCGACGACGGGUAGCCGGCCUGAGAGGGUGACCGGCCACACUGGGACUGAGACACGGCCCAGACUCCUACGGGAGGCAGCAGUGGGGAAUAUUGCACAAUGGGCGAAAGCCUGAUGCAGCGACGCCGCGUGAGGGAUGACGGCCUUCGGGUUGUAAACCUCUUUCAGUAGGGAAGAAGCGAAAGUGACGGUACCUGCAGAAGAAGCACCGGCUAACUACGUGCCAGCAGCCGCGGUAAUACGUAGGGUGCGAGCGUUAUCCGGAAUUAUUGGGCGUAAAGAGCUCGUAGGCGGUUUGUCGCGUCUGUCGUGAAAGUCCGGGGCUUAACCCCGGAUCUGCGGUGGGUACGGGCAGACUAGAGUGCAGUAGGGGAGACUGGAAUUCCUGGUGUAGCGGUGGAAUGCGCAGAUAUCAGGAGGAACACCGAUGGCGAAGGCAGGUCUCUGGGCUGUAACUGACGCUGAGGAGCGAAAGCAUGGGGAGCGAACAGGAUUAGAUACCCUGGUAGUCCACGCCGUAAACGAUGAUAACUAGCUGUCCGGGCUCAUGGAGCUUGGGUGGCGCAGCUAACGCAUUAAGUUAUCCGCCUGGGGAGUACGGUCGCAAGAUUAAAACUCAAAGGAAUUGACGGGGGCCUGCACAAGCGGUGGAGCAUGUGGUUUAAUUCGAAGCAACGCGCAGAACCUUACCAGCCUUUGACAUCCUAGGACGACUUCUGGAGACAGAUUUCUUCCCUUCGGGGACCUAGUGACAGGUGCUGCAUGGCUGUCGUCAGCUCGUGUCGUGAGAU